UACAGAGGGUGCGAGCGUUAAUCGGAAUUACUGGGCGUAAAGCGUGCGUAGACGGUUAUCUAAGUCGGAUGUGAAAGCCCCGGGCUCAACCUGGGAAUUGCAUUCGAGACUGAAUAGCUAGGGUGCGGUAGAGGGAAGCGGAAUUUCCGGUGUAGCGGUGAAAUGCGUAGAUAUCGGGAGGAACACCAGUGGCGAAGGCGGCGACCUGGACGGACAUUGACGCUGAGACGCGAAAGCGUGGGGAGCAAACAGG
rnacentral:rRNA from 1 species